rnacentral:rRNA from 1 species
GACAGAGGGUGCAAACGUUGCUCGGAAUUACUGGGCGUAAAGCGCGUGUAGGCGGCCCGCUAAGUCGGAUGUGAAAGCCCUCGGCUCAACCGAGGAAGUGCAUUCGAUACUGGCAGGCUCGAGUACCGGAGAGGGUCGUGGAAUUCCUGGUGUAGAGGUGAAAUUCGUAGAUAUCAGGAGGAACACCGGCGGCGAAGGCGGCGACCUGGACGAGUACUGACGCUCAGACGCGAAAGCGUGGGGAGCAAACAGG